ACAUUCACCGGNAAAUGCAGUMACUUGCAUGCAAAGUUUGACAAGUGCACUUGUUGGCCGUGUWACAGAAUUURAGGACAGAGUAAGAUUACUAGAGAGCAUGAUAGACUCUGAGAAUAUAGUGUCAGUGUGCAAAUGUGUUGAUAAACGAAUAYCGUGCAUUAGUACAACUGUAUAAGGAUUUGCCUCGUGACAUGUGCGUAGNAAACAUAUUGAGAGAGUACGCGUCCAGUGAAAGUGAUCUAGAGAGACUCCGUAAUGAAUAUUUUGAACAUAUAAAACAAACUCGUACCGAUUUCCCAUAUGGUGACAAGGCUUGUUUGAAACGUAGACUAUUUACACGUAGUNGCGAACCUGUUGCACUCCGUCUCGCCCAAGACAUACAUUGUAUUAUAGAAGUGGCGGAAGGGGGUGACUGUAGCCUCCUCAGAGCCAUGAUUAGCGCUGCUCGAACACGCAAGAACCCGUCCGGANGAAGACCACGGAGAACGGUGGGUAAUGCUACAGGAAGUGGAAGUGUGGCUGGGAAGUGCACAUGUGCUGCUGAACUAACUUUAGUGAAAGAUAGUGKAUCUUCCCUGCAAGCUGAUUUUCUUUUGUUAAAACAAUCGUUACAUGCUAGUGAAAAAUUACGGACACAGCAAAUUGGACUUGUUAGAAGCACAUGUGAUAAUAUWAAAGRUGACCUAAAUCGGUGCAACCAAGGCAUAGUUACAUUCACCGGAAAUGCAGUAACUUGCAUGCAAAGUUUGACAAGUGCACUUGUUGGCCGUGUUACA
rnacentral:sRNA from 1 species